GCGAGAGUGGCGGAAUUGGUAGACGCGCUGGUUUUAGGUACCAGUGUCUUUGACGUGGGAGUUCGAGUCUCCCCCCUCGCACCA
rnacentral:tRNA from 1 species